ACGGGUGAGUAACGCGUGGGAACGUGCCCUUCGGUUCGGAAUAACUCAGGGAAACUUGAGCUAAUACCGGAUACGCCCUUAUGGGGAAAGGCUUGACUGCCGAAGGAUCGGCCCGCGUCUGAUUAGCUAGUUGGUGAGGUUACGGCUCACCAAGGCGACGAUCAGUAGCUGGUCUGAGAGGAUGAUCAGCCACACUGGGACUGAGACACGGCCCAGACUCCUACGGGAGGCAGCAGUGGGGAAUAUUGGACAAUGGGGGCAACCCUGAUCCAGCCAUGCCGCGUGAGUGAUGACGGCCUUAGGGUUGUAAAGCUCUUUUCUCCGGGACGAUAAUGACGGUACCGGAGGAAUAAGCCCCGGCUAACUUCGUGCCAGCAGCCGCGGUAAUACGAAGGGGGCUAGCGUUGCUCGGAAUCACUGGGCGUAAAGGGCGCGUAGGCGGCUGAUUUAGUCGAGGGUGAAAGCCCGUGGCUCAACCACGGAAUGGCCUUCGAUACUGGUUGGCUUGAGACCGGAAGAGGACAGCGGAACUGCGAGUGUAGAGGUGAAAUUCGUAGA
rnacentral:rRNA from 1 species